UACGAAGGGGGCUAGCGUUGCUCGGAAUCACUGGGCGUAAAGCGCACGUAGGCGGAUUGUUAAGUCAGGGGUGAAAUCCUGGAGCUCAACUCCAGAACUGCCUUUGAUACUGGCGAUCUCGAGUCCGGGAGAGGUGAGUGGAACUGCGAGUGUAGAGGUGAAAUUCGUAGAUAUUCGCAAGAACACCAGUGGCGAAGGCGGCUCACUGGCCCGGUACUGACGCUGAGGUGCGAAAGCGUGGGUAGCAAACAGGA
rnacentral:rRNA from 1 species